rnacentral:rRNA from 1 species
CGCGUAGGCGGUUCGGAUAGUUAGAUGUGAAAUUCCUGGGCUUAACCUGGGGGCUGCAUUUGAUACUUCCGGGCUUGAGUAUGGAAGAGGGUCGUGGAAUUCCCAGUGUAGAGGUGAAAUUCGUAGAUAUUGGGAAGAACACCGGUGGCGAAGGCGGCGACCUGGUCCAUAACUGACGCUGAGGCGCGAAAGCGUGGGGAGCAAACAGGAUUAGAUACCCUGGUAGUCCACGCUGUAAACGAUGUGUGCUGGAUGUUGGGUUACCUAGUAACGCAGUGUCGUAGCUAACGCGAUAAGCACACCGCCUGGGGAGUACGGCCGCAAGGUUGAA